CCGCUUUUAGCUCAGUGGUCGAGCGUUGGCUUUGGAAGACACAGGUCGGUGGUUCGAACCCGCCAGGGCACA
rnacentral:tRNA from 1 species